GUGCUCAUUUUAGUGGCACACAUACUAAAAUUGGAAUGAUACAAAGAUUAGCACAGCUCUUGCACAAGGAUCACACUCAAAUUCAGGCAGCGUUCUGUAUUAUU